UUUUAGCUUUCGAAGAAGUUAUGAAAACUCACAGAUUGCGAAAAAUACCUCCUUUCGAUUUCCGUCACAUCACGGAAUUUUCACGGAUCGUGUAAGCCUGCUUCCUUUUGAUUUUCGGCACGUCUCGGGACUUCACAUAUUGUGCAACAAAGGGUGCCAAAUAUCUCAAAGCGGCCAAUCAAUGGUUGUAUAUCAUCAAAUUAUAAUCCCCG
rnacentral:lncRNA from 1 species